rnacentral:rRNA from 1 species
UACGGAGGGUGCAAGCGUUAUCCGGAUUCACUGGGGUUAAAGGGUGCGUAGGUGGGCGAGUAAGUCAGUGGUGAAAUCUCCGGGCUUAACCCGGAAACUGCCAUUGAUACUAUUCGUCUUGAAUGUUGUGGAGGUAAGCGGAAUAUGUCAUGUAGCGGUGAAAUGCUUAGAUAUGACAUAGAACACCGAUAGCGUAGGCAGCUUACUACACAAAUAUUGACACUGAGGCACGAAAGCGUGGGGAUCAAACAGG